rnacentral:rRNA from 1 species
UGCUUUACACAUGCAAGUCGAACGGGUCAAGAAGCUUGCUUCUUGGUUAGUGGCGAACGGGUGAGUAAUAUAUCGGAACGUGCCCAGUCGUGGGGGAUAACGUAGCGAAAGUUACGCUAAUACCGCAUACGAUCUACGGAUGAAAGCGGGGGAUCGCAAGACCUCGCGCGAUUGGAGCGGCCGAUAUCAGAUUAGGUAGUUGGUGGGGUAAAGGCUCACCAAGCCAACGAUCUGUAGCUGGUCUGAGAGGACGACCAGCCACACUGGAACUGAGACACGGUCCAGACUCCUACGGGAGGCAGCAGUGGGGAAUUUUGGACAAUGGACGCAAGUCUGAUCCAGCCAUUCCGCGUGCAGGAUGAAGGCCCUCGGGUUGUAAACUGC